rnacentral:rRNA from 1 species
GAUGAACGCUGGCGGCGUGCCUAAUACAUGCAAGUCGAGCGAACAGACGAGGAGCUUGUUCCCCUGACGUUAGCGGCGGACGGGUGAGUAACACGUGCAUAACCUUCCUCUACGACUGGGAUAAUUUCGGGAAACCGGUGCUACUACUGCAUAAUAUAUUGAACCGCUGGGUUCAAUAGUUAAAGACGGUUUUGCUGUUACUUUUAGAUGGAUCCGCGUCGGAUUAUCUAGUUGGUAAGGUAAAGGCUUACCAAGGCGACGUUGCGUAGCCGACCUGAGAGGGUGAUCGGCCACACUGGAACUGAGACACGGUCCAGACUCCUACGGGAGGCAGCAGUAGGGAAUCUUCCACAAUGGGCGAAAGCCUGACGGAGCAAUGCCGCGUGAGUGAUGAAGGUCUUCGGAUCGUAAAGCUCUGUUAUUAGGGAAGAAAAAAAGUAUGUGAAACUAUGGACGUCUUGACGGUACCCAAUCAAUAAGCACCGGCUAACUUCGUG